UGCCAGCCUCCUCGGUAAUACUAAGUGGGCUAUCGUGGUUCGGAAUUACUGGGCGUAAAGCGCACGUAGGCGGAUUUUUAAGUCAGAUGUGAAAUCCCAAGGCUCAACCUUGGAACUGCAUUUGAAACUGGGAAUCUAGAGAUCAGGAGAGGUUAGUGGAAUACCGAGUGUAGAGGUGAAAUUCGUAGAUAUUCGGUGGAACACCAGUGGCGAAGGCGACUAACUGGACUGAUACUGACGCUGAGGUGCGAAAGUGUGGGGAGCAAACAGGAUUAGAUA
rnacentral:rRNA from 1 species